rnacentral:tRNA from 1 species
CAGAUAUUAGUUUUAAAAAAAAUAUUAAUUUUGGGGAUUAGAGAUGAAUAAUUAUUUAUAUCUGA